GUUUAGGUCACCUUCUUUGCUAAAUUAAAUGAAGCAAAAUGCUCAGUUGAGAGAUGUAAAGAUUUAUAGUACUCUUGAACCAGAAUGCAUAGCCAUUUUCUCGCUGGCCAGGUCAAAUUUGAUCGAGUCUAAGGUGCAUUUGAUGAAGAUGGCGAAGCAUAUACAAUACGUCACUUCCAAAUUUAUCCCGAUUACUGAAGAAAAUGCCAUGAUGACAAUAUUGUUCUCAGAAGAAGCAAGAUCUAGUUGAUAGAGUGAUGAUUAUACGCCUUCACUUGUAUAAUCACUGUA